CGCGAAGAACCUUACCUGGUCUUGACAUCCCUCUGACCGCUCUAGAGAUAGAGUUUUCCUUCGGGACAGAGGUGACAGGUGGUGCAUGGUUGUCGUCAGCUCGUGUCGUGAGAUGUUGGGUUAAGUCCCGCAACGAGCGCAACCCCUAUUGUUAGUUGCCAUCAUUUAGUUGGGCACUCUAGCGAGACUGCCGGUAAUAAACCGGAGGAAGGUGGGGAUGACGUCAAAUCAUCAUGCCCCUUAUGACCUGGGCUACACACGUGCUACAAUGGCUGGUACAACGAGUCGCAAGCCGGUGACGGCAAGCUAAUCUCUUAAAGCCAGUCUCAGUUCGGAUUGUAGGCUGCAACUCGCCUACAUGAAGUCGGAAUCGCUAGUAAUCGCGGAUCAGCACGCCGCGGUGAAUACGUUCCCGGGCCUUGUACACACCGCCCGUC
rnacentral:rRNA from 1 species